CAGCUCCUUCAUUUACACUGGAUUUUGGAGAGAACAGUGGUUCACUGUAUAAGGGAAUGUGGAAAGCAAGGGGAGCUGACUUGGAACGGGAGUCUCCCAUAUCAGGAGCUAUCUAGUACUCUCAUAAAUGCCCCCUGGUUUCGUGGAAGAAUGCCAGUAUGUACUAACAUCAGCACUGAACUAAAAAGUCUAUGAAGCAAGUUAACAAUUCAGACAGGAGCCCAGGGUGACAGCAGCCCAGUGUUGGGAGUUGUAGCUCUAUGGCAGGUACAAUCUGCAUCACCUCCCAGACGAUAAGGCAUGCAAAGAUUAUUGCUUCUUCUUGCUUGGAGAGACAAGUGAACAGGCAACAGCAGGGAGGAAGAACAGCAGGUCCAGGAGCCUUCAGAGAUUCCAAGUAGGGCAUAGGCCUCGGCAAGACCCAACAACACUGACCCCUAAUGCCAGCCCUGACUUUGGAAUCAUUAUGCUUGUAACAAUGGGAACAGCUAUAAAAUCACCUGCUGCAUUUCCCACCCAUGCAACUCCCUUGUGACAGCGCAAUCAGCCUCUCCUGUUUCAAUUUCCAUGCUAUGUCUGAGAUAACAUUUGACUAGAUUUUUUUUCUCUUUUGCCUUGCCCACAUUUAUAAUCUCAAUGUAAAUCACUAAAUCUUGCACGCAUGGUAUAAAAAUAUUA